rnacentral:lncRNA from 1 species
GAACUCUACGGCAGAAGAACGACUCCUCAUUUGUUUGCUGGCUACCUGGAACCUCAGACAGGCCUGGCACUCAGAGUGCUCAAGAAAUAUUUUUGGGGGCCGACCCAGUGGUGCAGCAGUUAAGUGCUCACAUUCUGCUUCCCAGUGGCCCAGGGUUCACGGGUUCAGGUCCCGGGUGCGGACACGGCACCGCUUGGCACACCAUGCUGAGGACCUAAAUGACCACCUGGCAAUUACUUUGCCAGCACAGCAACUCCG